GACGAACGCUGGCGGCGUGCUUAACACAUGCAAGUCGAACGGAAAGGCCCUGCUUUUGUGGGGUGCUGGAGUGGCGAACGGGUGAGUAACACGUGAGUAACCUGCCCUUGACUUUGGGAUAACAUCAGGAAAAUGGGGCUAAUACAGGAUAGGAGCUCCUGCUGCAUGGUGGGGGUUGGAAAGUUUCGGCGGUUGGGGAUGGACUCGCGGCUUAUCAGCUUGUUGGUGGGGUAGUGGCUUACCAAGGCUUUGACGGGUAGCCGGCCUGAGAGGGUGACCGGCCACAUUGGUACUGAGAUACGGCCCAGACUCCUACGGGAGGCAGCAGUGGGGAAUAUUGCACACUGGGCCGAAGCCUGAUGCAGCAACGCCGCGUGCGGGAUGACGGCCUUCGGGUUGUAAACCGCUUUCGCCUGUGACGAAGCGUGUGUGACGGUAAUGGGUAAAGAAGCACCGGCUAACUACGUG
rnacentral:rRNA from 1 species